GACGAGCCACACAAACGUUAUUCGGAAUUACUGGGCUUAAAGGGUGCGUAGGCGGCGCGGCAAGUUGGGUGUGAAAGCCCUCGGCUCAACCGAGGAAUUGCGCCCAAAACUUCCGUGCUUGAGGAAGAUAGAGGUGAGCGGAACUCAGGGUGGAGCGGUGAAAUGCGUUGAUAUCCUGAGGAACACCGGUGGCGAAAGCGGCUCACUGGAUCUUUUCUGACGCUGAGGCACGAAAGCUAGGGUAGCGAACGGG
rnacentral:rRNA from 1 species